rnacentral:rRNA from 1 species
UUCAUCCUACGGGGCGCAGCAGUAGGGAAUCUUCGGCAAUGGGGGCAACCCUGACCGAGCAACGCCGCGUGAGUGAAGAAGGUUUUCGGAUCGUAAAGCUCUGUUGUAAGAGAAGAACGUGUGUGAGAGUGGAAAGUUCACACAGUGACGGUAACUUACCAGAAAGGGACGGCUAACUACGUGCCAGCAGCCGCGGUGAUACGUAGGUCCCGAGCGUUAUCCGGAUUUAUUGGGCGUAAAGCGAGCGCAGGCGGUGGGAUAAGUCUGAAGUUAAAGGCUGGGGCUUAACC